rnacentral:rRNA from 1 species
GAUGAACGCUGGCGGCGUGCCUAAUACAUGCAAGUCGAGCGAACGGACGAGAAGCUUGCUUCUCUGAUGUUAGCGGCGGACGGGUGAGUAACACGUGGAUAACCUACCUAUAAGACUGGGAUAACUUCGGGAAACCGGAGCUAAUACCGGAUAAUAUUUUGAACCGCAUGGUUCAAAAGUGAAAGACGGUCCUGCUGUCACUUAUAGAUGGAUCCGCGCUGCAUUAGCUAGUUGGUAAGGUAACGGCUUACCAAGGCAACGAUGCAUAGCCGACCUGAGAGGGUGAUCGGCCACACUGGAGCGGAGACACGGUCAAGACUCCUACGGGAGGCAGCAGUAGGGAAUCUUACGCAGUGGGCGAGAGCAUGACGGAGCAACGCCGCGUGAGUGAUGAAGGUCUUCGGAUCGUAAAACUCUGUUAUUAGGGAAGAACAUAUGUGUAAGUAACUGAGCACAUCUUGACGGUACCUAAUCAGAAAGCAACGGCUAACUACGUG